AUUUUUUGAAAACACGGGAAACGCACGUUUCACAUUGAAAACAACAUUUCUCUCUCUUUUUCCUCUCUAUCACAUUCUGAGCAGAUUUCCUAGGCUUUCCUCUUCCUCCUCGUUCGCAGCCUGAAAACUUUGGAAGAUCAAUCAUCUUCUCCUAUUUUCUGCUCUAGCUUCAACAUGGGUAGUCACAGAGUUAGGAAUAAGGAACCAGUGUCAUGGUCCGACGAGAAUGAACACGCUUUUAUCGAAAUUCUUUAUGAGAAAGUUAAAUCAAAUGCAUUGCAAUGUUCUACAUUCAUCAAAGACGAAUGGGGCAGGAUCAACGAAGCUAUGAUAGCUUCAACAAAAAUGGAUUACGGCAUAAAUAGAUUGAAGGGAAAGUGGAACCGCUUACGUAAGAUUCAUUGCAUGUUCUCUGAACUUUUGGGACAUACAGAUGUUACAUGAGAUCCAAAUACCAAUAAAGUUAAUGUUGUAGAGGAAGUUUGGCAACACUUUUAUACGAUUAAUAAGUCGGAUUACAAGUUAUUCAAGAAGGAAGGAUGUAAGCACUACUACACUCUUGGGGAGAUAUUUAGCAGAACUACAGCUACUGGAGGAUUAGGCAUGCCUCUACUCGGCUUCCCAACACAUCAGAGGAAGAAAGACAGCUAAAAGAUGAUUUUUUAAAUAGGAGAGUGCAUGUACGUGCAGAAAAUGAUGAUGAAGUCGAUGUGGUUUCAAAUACUCGUCGACGUAACGAAAUUGGUGCAUCGGGUGAACGGCGAUGUAAGGAACCUAAGACCAGUAAAAGUGAUAAACUCAAGACCUGCAUGGCACAGUCGUCAUCUACAGUUAGUUUGAAGAAUGAAGAAACUGAACUUAGAACACUUUAGAUAAAAGAAAAGCUGGCAAAGAUCCAAAGAAAAUCAAGUAAUCAAUCGGAUAGUGAAGUUAAUAGUCUCAAUCCUUAUUCAAAUGUUAUUUGCUUAAACUUCUUAAACAAUAUGGAAGGGGUGUCCAACAAGAUUUAUAUGAAAACAAUAAAGACUUUUAAGAAUCCCAAUUUCAGGGUGUCAUUUGUGAAGAUGCCAGAAGCAAGGAAAGGACCUAUCUUGGAACUACUUUGAUGUGACUGUUGUGUUAAUUUCUUUAGUAUUUUGUUGUUUUAAUUUGUGACUACUUUAUGUUGUUUUGAACUAUCUUGGAACUACUUUGUGUUGUUUUAAUUUCUCUAGUAUUGUGGUGAUGUUGUACUGUUUUCAUUUAUGAACAUAGUGAUGUCGAACAUUGGAGAAUUGAUGUCAAUUUUUCUUCAGUUUCUA